UUGCGCACUCACUCUGUUGUUGUUCGUGCGGCCAAAUGAAUUUAAUGUAAAACCUCUCGCGUGGCCAAAAAAGUUGAAUGUUUGCGCAACUAUGGCCCCCUAUCAAAGUCCCCAUCCCCAUCCCCAUCCCCAUCCCUAUCCACAUCCGCAGCCGUAGCCGCAUCCAAGUACACCCACUGCCCGAUUCACUUACUUAACAGGUGUGACAGCGGCAACAACGAGUCGGCUGCUGUCACUCGAACAAGUAAAGCCAAGUGAAUAACUGUGACGAUGACAAGGACGAAAGCAGGACACGUUUUAGCAGAUAAAUGCCAGGCACUUAAGUC
ensembl:ncRNA lncRNA:CR45628 long non-coding RNA:CR45628